CUGGAAUAAAAUCAAAAAACCCGAAGGCGCAAUGAAAGUGAAGGUCGGUGGUCUGUCCGACUGAGGCGGGAUCCGUUUCCGAGGAUAGCUCUCGUCCGAUCGUUUCGAUUUUUUUCUUUGCGAAAAGAGAGGAACGGUUUCGGCGGGCAUCCCGGCGGCGCACCGCCGGCCCGUCUCGACCGCUUAUCGUCGGCGAGGCGGAGCCAGAGCGCACACGUUGGGACCCGAAAGAUGGUGAACUAUGCUCGGGCAGGACGAAGCCAGAGGAAACUCUGGUGGAGGUCCGUAGCGAUUCUGACGUGCAAAUCGAUCGUCAGACCCGAGUAUAGGGGCGAAAGACUAAUCGAACCGUCUAGUAGCUGGUUCCCUCCGAAGUUUCCUCAGGAUAGC
rnacentral:rRNA from 1 species